AGUGAACGCUGGCGGUAGGCCUAACACAUGCAAGUCGAACGGCAGCACAGUAAGAGCUUGCUCUUACGGGUGGCGAGUGGCGGACGGGUGAGGAAUACAUCGGAAUCUACUUUUUCGUGGGGGAUAACGUAGGGAAACUUACGCUAAUACCGCAUACGACCUACGGGUGAAAGCAGGGGAUCUUCGGACCUUGCGCGAUUGAAUGAGCCGAUGUCGGAUUAGCUAGUUGGCGGGGUAGAGGCCCACCAAGGCGACGAUCCGUAGCUGGUCUGAGAGGAUGAUCAGCCACACUGGAACUGAGACACGGUCCAGACUCCUACGGGAGGCAGCAGUGGGGAAUAUUGGACAAUGGGCGCAAGCCUGAUCCAGCCAUACCGCGUGGGUGAAGAAGGCCUUCGGGUUGUAAAGCCCUUUUGUUGGGAAAGAAAAGCAGCAGGUUAAUACCCCGCUGUUCGGACGGUACCCAAAGAAUAAGCACCGGCUAACUUCGU
rnacentral:rRNA from 1 species